UACGAAGGGUGCAAGCGUUACUCGGAAUUACUGGGCGUAAAGGGCGCGUAGGCGGCCUGCUAAGUCGGACGUGAAAUCCCUAGGCUCAACCCAGGAACUGCGUCCGAUACUGGUUGGCUUGAAUCCGGGAGAGGGAUGUGGAAUUCCAGGUGUAGCGGUGAAAUGCGUAGAUAUCUGGAGGAAUACCGGUGGCGAAGGCGGCAUCCUGGACCGACAUUGACGCUGAUGAGCGAAAGCCAGGGGAGCAAACGGG
rnacentral:rRNA from 1 species